rnacentral:rRNA from 1 species
UGGGGAAUAUUGCACAAUGGGCGCAAGCCUGAUGCAGCCAUGCCGCGUGUGUGAAGAAGGCCUUCGGGUUGUAAAGCACUUUCAGCGGGGAGGAAGGCGGUGAGGUUAAUAACCUCACCGAUUGACGUUACCCGCAGAAGAAGCACCGGCUAACUCCGUGCCAGCAGCCGCGGUAAUACGGAGGGUGCAAGCGUUAAUCGGAAUUACUGGGCGUAAAGCGCACGCAGGCGGUCUGUCAAGUCGGAUGUGAAAUCCCCGGGCCCAACCUGGGAACUGCAUUCGAAACUGGCAGGCUAGAGUCUUGUAGAGGGGGGUAGAAUUCCAGGUGUAGCGGUGAAAUGCGUAGAGAUCUGGAGGAAUACCGGUGGCGAAGGCGGCCCCCUGGACAAAGACUGACGCUCAGGUGCGAAAGCGUGGGAGCAAACAGG